rnacentral:rRNA from 1 species
UACGUAGGGGGCAAGCGUUGUCCGGAUUUAUUGGGCGUAAAGAGCGUGUAGGCGGCCAGGUAGGUCUGCUGUGAAAACUCGAGGCUUAACCUCGAGCUGUCGGCGGAAACCAUUUGGCUAGGAGUCCGGAAGAGGAGAAUGGAAUUCCUGGUGUAGCGGUGAAUGCGCAGAUAUCAGGAAGAACACCCGUGGCUAAGGCGGCUCUCUAGUACGGUACUGACGCUGAGACGCGAAAGCGUGGGGAGCGAACAGG